GGCGUGUGUGAGCUGCUGGUGCGGUGGUCAGCGCGAUGCCCAAGGCCAAGGGCAAAACCCGGAGACAGAAGUUUGGUUACAGUGUCAACCGCAAGCGUCUGAACCGGAAUGCUCGACGGAAGGCAGCGCCGCGGAUCGAAUGCUCCCACAUCCGACAUGCCUGGGACCACGCUAAAUCGGUGCGGCAGAACCUCGCCGAGAUGGGGUUGGCUGUGGACCCCAACAGGGCGGUGCCCCUCCGUAAGAGAAAGGUGAAGGCCAUGGAGGUGGACAUAGAGGAGAGGCCUAAAGAGCUUGUACGGAAGCCCUAUGUGCUGAAUGACCUGGAGGCAGAAGCCAGCCUUCCAGAAAAGAAAGGAAAUACUCUGUCUCGGGACCUCAUUGACUAUGUACGCUACAUGGUGGAGAACCACGGGGAGGACUAUAAGGCCAUGGCCCGUGAUGAGAAGAAUUACUAUCAAGAUACCCCAAAACAGAUUCGGAGUAAGAUCAAUGUUUAUAAACGCUUUUACCCAGCGGAGUGGCAAGACUUCCUCGAUUCUUUGCGGAAGAGUAAGAUGGAGGUUGAGUGACUGGUUUACAUCACAGCUGCCCCAGGCUGAGGUCUCCCCCGGACCAGUGAAGCUGGAGCCAGGGUGUAAGGCAAGGAGGUGCUGUGUGGCUCCAGAGGGGCUGGCCAGGUCCCAUGGAAUCAGAAGGCUACACACACACGCAUGCACACUCCCCGCUCUGGGGAAGGAACUGUUCUCAGAGGCUCCAAUUUAUAUUCGUCCGGGGGUUCACGGAAAAGCCAGAACCUAAUGUUUUCAGGGUUUUUUGAGACAAGGCCUUGCUCUUGUAUCCCAGGCUGGAGUGCAAUGACAUGAUCAUGGCCCACUGCAGAAGCAGCCUCAACCUCCCAGGCUGAAGUGAUCCUCCCUCCUCAGCCCAUCCCAGGAAGCCAUCUCUGGUGGCCUCUCUUCAGAGGGAUGGUAAUAGGUCAGAGAAUGGAAAAUCAGAAGCCACCGCUUCAUCUGAGUUACUUAAGAACAAAAGCCCCCAGUGCCAGGUGAGUGACCAGACACAGGUUCAACAGGUAAGUGUAGUGAAGACUUCCCUUCUAUGUGAGUGGACGCUCUGCAUGCUCGCUGCCACCCACUCCCUCAGGUCCACAGCCUUCCCUCCAGCCAUCUCUGUUGGAACAUGAGAGCCGCCCAAACAUUUAACUCUGUUCCCAAGCUCAGCUAGGUUGGCAGCUGUUGGGUUUAGGCAGUGCGGGGAACACAGUAUCACCCAGGCUAGAUCAUUCUGAGAUGAGCAGCUCCAGGUAACUGGACUGGUUCCCAAGAGCAGGUGAUUGUGGCUCCUGAGUCACAAAAGUCAUAUUCAGGAGCAGCUGGGUAAGGGCACCACAGAGCCAGUUAGGUGAGGUUCUUAAGGCCUGUUCACCCACUUUGCCCAGUUUACGUGUGGUGGAAACCAAAGCAGAUGAGCACUGUGGCACUGUGCCUGGAGGACGGGCCAGCAGCCCCACCAGAGGAGCGCAGCUGCUGACCACCAACCCACAGGCUCUAGGACACCUACAUUCUCUACCAGUAUCAGAGUGGUGACACUGGACCUUCAGUGCCCUCAGUGUGCUGCUGGGACCUGAGGUUUUGAGAGUGGUCUUGAUAAAAGCAGCUCAAGUAGACAUAAUGAAACUUUAUUCUUCAAGUUUACCUCCCACAACUGGGAAUUGUGGGAUUUUUAAUUUUUAAAGAAUUGUACAAGAUAUUCAUUAGACACAGACAGAUCUUCAUUAGGUAAAAAGGGACCCCCUCAACAAUUAAUGCUGGUUCCAAAGGUGACCUUUGUUAAAUUAAGUUUGGCCUAAAGCUGCCUCUGUACAUAGUGAAUUAUAACCUAACAAUGUGUAAACACCCUGCAAUGUAAUCUAAGAGUCUACUCUCGUAACAAGUAGCCAAAUCUCAGCCAACCAGGCUGAAGGCUGCCAAAACAUGUCCAAAGAAGGCAAAUGCCAGACUGCGGCCAAUCAGGCUAUCUCUGUAUGUCAAUUCCAUUUCUUUGCUUAUAAAUAUAGCCUACACACAUUCUGAACCAUAGCUUUUGGUCCUGAGCGCUACCUGAUUCAUGAACCCUUUUCUGCUCAAUUAAACUGUUAAAGUUAACUUGUCUAUAAAAUUUUUCUUUUAACAAAUUGGUGUCAGAAGUAGGAUCCAAAGUAGAACUUCAGCGACCUCCAGGAGCACUGAGUGACCACGCAAAAAGGUAUCUGCCAGGGCCCAUUGUGCCCACUGAUCCCUCACAGCAACUGGAGGUCAUAGUGAGUUCUUCCUAGGAUUCUGAGCUCCAUAAAUUUGUGUUUUGAGCUCUCCAAGUUUAUCUGAGCAAUUUUUACUGGACUGGGUCCUGGAUUGGACUGAAUCCCAUAAUAAACUGGAUGGAUCCAGUUACAGGCAUUGGGUAGGUUAUCCUUUUGAUAAUGGGCUUGUUUCAAUCCAAGGAGUCUGGGACUCCACCUUCUGGGACUCCAUCUAAUUUUAUAUAUAAGAAUUAUGGGGCUGGGUGUGGUGGCUGAUGCCCGUAAUCCCAGCACUUUGGGAGGCUGAGGCAGGAAGAUCUCUUGAGCUCACAAGUUUGAGACCAGCCUGGGCAACAUGGCAAAACCCCAUCUCUACAAAAAAUACGUAAGUGUGGUGGUGUAUGCCUGUAGUCCCAGCUACUCAGGAGGCUGAGGUGGCAAAAUCUCUUGUGCCCGGGAGGCAGAGGUUGCAGUAAGCCGAGAUCACGCCACUGCACUCCAGCCUGGGUGACAAAGCAACACUCUAUCUCAAAAAACAAAACAAGUCCGGGCAUGGUCACACCUGUAAUCCCAACACUUUGGGAGGCUGAGGUGGGUGGAUCACCUCACCUGCUUGGCCAAUGUGGUGAAACCCUCCCUACUAAAAACACAAAAAUUAGCUGGGCGUGGUGGUGCACACCUGUGAUCGCAGCUACUCAGGAGGCUGAGGCAUGAGAAUUGCUUGAACCUGGGAGGCGGAGGUUGCAGUGAGCCGAGAUCACGCCGCUGCACUCCAGCCUGGGCGGUGACAGAGUAAGACUCUGUCUCAAAAAAAAAAAAAAAAAAAAUGGACCCAGAACUUGUUUUUAGAAAAACAGGCUAACCUUACUAGGAACAACUUAGAAUUAAAAUGGCCACAAUGAGGAAACUUUAAAUAAAAUUGUUUAUUUGUGGGACACAUUAGAAAAGAAAGGAUCAAAAACUCCACAAAAACAAUGGGAUGCAUUUUAAAUCAGUAUGCAGAGGCGUGGGGAAAAGAAAGACAGAUCAGAUUGUUACUGUGUCUGUGUAGAAAGAAGUAGACAUAGGAGACUCCAUUUUGUUCUGUACUAAGAAAUUCUUCUGCCUUGAGAUGCUGUUAAUCUAUAACCUUACCCCCAACCCCGUGCUCUCUGAAACAUGUGCUGUGUCGACUCAGGGUUAAAUGGAUUAAGGGCUGUGCAGGAUGUGCUUUGUUAAACAGAUGCUUGAAGAGUCAUCACCACUCCCUAAUCUCAAGUAUCCAGGGACACAAAAACUGUGGAAGGCUGCAGGGACCUCCGCCUAGGAAAGCCAGGUAUUGUCCAAGGUUUCUCCCCAUGUGAUAGUCUGAAAUAUGGCCUCGUGGGAAGGGAAAGACCUGACCGUCCGCCAGCCCGACACCUGUAAAGGGUCUUUGCUGAGGAGGAUUAGUAUAAGAGGAAGGAAGGCCUCUUUGCAGUUGAGACAAGAGGAAGGCAUCUGCCUCCUGCCCGUCCCUGAGUGAUGGAAUGUCUCGAUUGUAUGUUCCAUCUACUGAGAUAGGGGAAAACUGCCUUAGGGCUGGAGGUGGGACAUGCGGGCAGCAAUACUGCUCUGUAAGGCAUUGAGAUGUUUAUGUGUAUGCAUAUCUGAAGCACAGCACUUAAUUCUUUACCUUGUCUAUGAUGCAGAGACCUUUGUUCACGUUUAUCUGCUGACCUUCUCUCCACUAUUAUCCUAUGACCCUGACACAUCCCCCUCUCUGAGAAACACCCAAGAAUGAUCAAUAAAUACUAAAGGGAACUCAGAGGCCGGCGGGAUCCUCCAUAUGCUGAACGCUGGUCCCCUGGGCCCCCUUAUUUCUUUCUCUA